AGGGUUUGAUCAUGGCUCAGAACGUACGCUGGCGGCACGCCUUAUACAUGCAAGUCGAACGAAGUAGCAAUACUUAGUGGCAGACGGGUGAGUAACAUGUAGGUAUCUUCCCUUUGGUGAGGAAUAACACGAGGAAACUUGUGCUAAUACCUCAUAAGUCUUUACGGAGAAAGCUUUAUGCGCCGAAGGAUCAGCCCAAGUGGGAUUAGCUAGUUGGUAAGGUAAUGGCUUACCAAGGCGACGAUCCCUAGCUGGUCUUAGAGGAUGACCAGCCACACUGGAACUGAGACACGGUCCAGACUCCUACGGGAGGCAGCAGUGGGGAAUAUUGCACAAUGGAGGAAACUCUGAUGCAGCCAUGCCGCGUGUGUGAAGAAGGCUUUCGGGUUGUAAAGCUUGUUUAAUAGACAAUAGCUUGACGUUACCCACAGAAGAAGCACCGGCUAACUCCGUGCCAGCAGCCGCGGUAAUACGGAGGGUGCGAGCGUUAAUCGGAAUUACUGGGCGUAAAGCGCGCGUAGGUGGUUAAUUAAGUCAGAUGUGAAAGCCCAGGGCUCAACCUUGGAACUGCAUUUGAAACUGGUUAACUAGAGUUUUGUAGAGGUGGUAGAACUCCUAGUGUAGAGGUGAAAUUCGUAGAUAUUAGUGAAGAACACCAGUGGCGAAGUCGAUUCACUGGUCCGGUACUGACGCUGAGGUGCGAAAGCGUGGGGAGCAAACAGGAUUAGAUACCCUGGUGGUCCACGCCGUAAACGAUGAAUGCCAGCUGUUGGGCAGUAUACUGUUCAGUGGCGCAGCUAACGCAUUAAGCAUUCCGCCUGGGGAGUACGGUCGCAAGACUAAAACUCAAAGAAAUUGACGGGGGCCCGCACAAGCGGUGGAGCAUGCGGUUUAAUUCGAAGCAACGCGCAGAACCUUACCAGCUCUUGACAUCCCGAUCUCGGUUACCGGAGACGGUUUCCUUCAGCUAGGCUGGAUCGGUGACAGGUGCUGCAUGGCUGUCGUCAGCUCUUGUCGUGAGAUUUUGGGUUAAGUCCCGCAACGAGCGCAACCCUCGCCCUUAGUUACCAUCAUUUAGUUGGGUACUCUAAGGGAACUGCCGGUGACAAGCCGGAGGAAGGUGGGGAUGACGUCAAGUCCUCAUGGCCCUUAUGGGCUGGGCUACACACGUGCUACAAUGGCGGUGACAAUGGGUCGCGACCCCGCGAGGGCGAGCUAAUCCCCAAAAACCGUCUCAGUUCGGAUUGUUCUCUGCAACUCGAGAGCAUGAAGUUGGAAUCGCUAGUAAUCGCGUAUCAGCAUGACGCGGUGAAUACGUUCCCGGGCCUUGUACACACCGCCCGUCACACCAUGGGAGUUGGUUUUACCUGAAGACGGUGCGCUAACCUUUUAGGAGGCAGCCGGCCACGGUAAGGUCAGCGACUGGGGUGAAGUCGUAACAAGGUAACCGUA
rnacentral:rRNA from 1 species